UACAGAGACUGCAAGCGUUAUUCGGAUUCACUGGGCGUAAAGGGUGCGCAGACGGUUGUGUGUGUCAGGUGUGAAAGCCCGGGGCUUAACCCCGGAAUUGCGCCUGAAACUACAUGACUAGAGCAUUGGAGAGGGUAGCGGAAUUCACGGUGUAGCAGUGAAAUGCGUAGAUAUCGUGAGGAACACCAGAGGCGAAGGCGGCUACCUGGACAAUUGCUGACGCUCAGGCACGAAAGCGCGGGGAGCAAAAGGG
rnacentral:rRNA from 1 species